GGACAGAUGGCCGAGCGGUUAAGGCGGUAGACUCAAGUUUCUUGCAAACUUCUGUGCAGCGCGCACGGGUCCUUCUACUGGAGCAAUCCGCGUGGGUUCGAAUCCCACUCUGUUCA
rfam:Rhodotorula sp. JG-1b unplaced genomic scaffold RHOSPscaffold_16, whole genome shotgun sequence.